UAGAUACCCUGGUAGUCCACCCCGUAAACGUUGGGAACUAGUUGUGGGGUCCAUUCCACGGAUUCCGUGACGCAGCUAACGCAUUAAGUUCCCCGCCUGGGGAGUACGGCCGCAAGGCUAAAACUCAAAGGAAUUGACGGGGACCCGCACAAGCGGCGGAGCAUGCGGAUUAAUUCGAUGCAACGCGAAGAACCUUACCAAGGCUUGACAUACACCAGAACGGGCCAGAAAUGGUCAACUCUUUGGACAC
rnacentral:rRNA from 1 species